rnacentral:rRNA from 1 species
AGUGAACGCUGGCGGUAGGCCUAACACAUGCAAGUCGAACGGCAGCACAGUAAGAGCUUGCUCUUACGGGUGGCGAGUGGCGGGCGGAUGAGGAAUACAUCGGAAUCUACUUUUUCGUGGGGGAUAACGUAGGGAAACUUACGCUAAUACCGCAUACGACCUACGGGUGAAAGCAGGGGAUCUUCGGACCUUGCGCGAUUGAAUGGGCCGAUGUCGGAUUAGCUAGUUGGCGGGGUAAAGGCCCACCAAGGCGACGAUCCGUAGCUGGUCUGAGAGGAUGAUCAGCCACACUGGAACUGAGACACGGUCCAGACUCCUACGGGAGGCAGCAGUGGGGAAUAUUGGACAAUGGGCGCAAGCCUGAUCCAGCCAUACCGCGUGGGUGAAGAAGGCCUUCGGGUUGUAAAGCCCUUUUGUUGGGAAAGAAAAGCAGCAGGUUAAUACCCCGCUGUUCUGACGGUACCCAAAGAAUAAGCACCGGCUAACUUCGUG